UUUAAUUGCUCUGUAAACUACUGUUCAUUUUAAUGAAAAUCAAAACGACAAAUUUCAGUUGCAUGCUUAGUGAUAGUGUGUGCUUGAGCUGUAUUCCAGUUGAUUGCACAAACAUGUUUUAAAUGCUGUUAAAUUCUUCAUGAAAAUGAGCAGUGAGGCAUUCAGUCCAUCUUCUACCUUAAGCCAGUUGAGACUACUGUGCAUUUUUUAUAUCUGGGAGGCCCCUGCGAUGCUGUGAUUCCUCUUCUCCCGGCACUGAUGGCCCACAGACCUGGCUCUGGGUGGACGCGAGUAUUUACUGUACUGCAGAAUACCAAGCAUCUCAUAAGGAGACAAUAGCCAUGUUACACACAGAAAUGAAGAAAAUUAUGCUGAGCAUGCACACAGAGACCGAGACUGAAAGACAGAGAGAGAGAGAGACACACACUACAUAUUCCAACACUGCUACAAUUUGACGACGGACUACAAUAUGAAGGCUUGGUAAAGUAAAUGUGACCGCUCCUAACAAAAUGUAAAAAUAAUAGCGGCUGUAGGGAGAACAUAACUGCUGUUGACAGAACAUUGGCUCAACAUCGCUCACAACUCUCCUUAUACUAUGGUAUGAAAGGGAAACACAAGAGGCAGCUGAUGAAUAUUCUGUCACAUCAUCAUUAUUCUAAAUGCCUCUCUUAUUCAUGCCACAUUGUUUUCGGCCCUACACAAUCCUGCUGUCCCUUGUGCUGUUAUGGGAUGGAAGAUGAGUGCUGUUGUAACCAUGGCCCUGAAUAAAGCUACCAGCAGCAUCCUGGACUGCACUGAGGGACACACCAGGUUAAUUUUGUGGAUGGCCCCAACUUUGUUGGCCACUAUUCCACCUCACCUCCGCCUACUUGCCAAUUGUGACACAAAAGAAGGUGGGCCCAAAUCUGCUGAAAAUCUCUCCAAAUGGCACCAAACCUCUCCGAAUUGGAAUAUUGCGUAUAUCUUUUUUCCCCAGCCAUAUUCCACUUCCAGAUGCUUAUUCCAUUGAGUGUGGUACCCUCUAGAAUCCCACAGAACAAAUAUUCUUUAUUUACCCAUUCUCUCUUUUUGACUAAACCUGCUAUUUCAGUAAAAUGCUGUCCUUUUGGAGAGCUUCAAUGUAUAAAAUGUGUUCAUAAUGGUUAAUUAUCACACAAACUAAAUUCACUUAGAAACAAUCAAACCACUUGGUUUUACCUUGCUGUGUGCUCAGACCUGCAAUCAGCUCCCAGACUGUUUGUUAGCAGUAAACCUCCCAAUCACAAUCAAGUGGGAGCUCACAAGAAGGAAAAUGACAAAAAUAUAAAAACAAAUCAUGAAUGAUUUACAAUAAUAUAGUACCCUUCUGCACUGCACCACUACUGCAGUGUCUUUCAUGCAAACCAUUUGCUGAUAAACAGACAAACUCAUUUUUAGCUUGUACUGCUGGGACAAAAUAUCAUGUACAGCCUGUCCAUAAACUGGUUUUUGCUCUUUGUCCCAUUUCCUCUGUGCUGACCCCCGGGCUGAGGAAUCAAUUUGUGGCCAUCACCCUUCAAACCCUAUUCAUUAGAACUUGGCAUUCACCUUAAGUUAAGCUCAACCACUUCAUUAGUUUGUAAUAGGAAGGUUAUUCUCUCACUCUUGGGUUCUCUCUCUCUUUCUCUCUCCCUCCCCCCCUCCCUCCCUCUCCGGCUGCUUUCCUCAGCUCUCAGCAACACAUUACACAGGGACAUAUGGUUUCUGCCCAAGUGCAAAACUAAAUCAACCAAUUGUCACUGGGCUCUGACAGGGUAGCUGAAAUCGGUUUUUGUUCAGUGGUUAAGACCCCCACUGAAAUCUGAUGCUUCCUCUGGUUGCUUUUCUCCCUCCCCUGGACUUAAAGGUGUUUUAAAAAUAUUUUUAAGAUUUAGGGAGUCAUUAUUGCUGAGAGUCUCCAGACGAGUGUGUGAGUGAGCUGAGCUCUGUCUGGGAGCCUCACCACUGAGCCACAGGGCUACCACAUCAUUGGCAGAUAUACACUCGCAUUUAAAUUAAACUGACGUUGCACUGGAUUGUAUCGGUGGCUUCUUCUGCAAUGACUCUGUGGUUGCCGUGUGGCCUUCUCCCCAAGGUGUCAGCAGCAGGCUUGAGUUUGUGAUCCUGUCACACCUUGUGACUGCACGUGCUCUGCUGGGGAUUGUGGGGGAAACACUUGUGUUUAUUGGAAAUAACUCGUUUUUAGCACCACCUGCAUCAAACAGACAGAAGAAGAGGAGAGGGAGAGAGAGAGAGAAGGUAAGAUUGAGCAAGUGAGAGUGAGAGAGCAGCCAAGAGAGAGCAAGCAAGUGAGAGUGAGAGAGAGCAAGAGGGACAAUAAUAUGAGAAGAGGGAGAGACGGACAGCGAUGGAGAGAGAAGGUGAGAUCGAGAAAGAGAGAGGGUGAGAGAAAUUAUGGAGGAAAGAAAAAAUAUGGCUUCAAUUGUGGUGUCCAGUCAUGCAGGACUGUAAUAGGACCAUAAUGCAGGUUUUGAGUUAUAACUCCCCUCAGAGUAGAGUGGCUGUUCUGGAAAUACUGUGAGAUGCUAUCAAGAAAAGGGGAGUUAGAUUGAUGGUGUUUUACAGUUACAUCACCAACAGGCAAGCAGGCAUGCACGUGCGCGCAUGCGCGCGCACACACACACAGAAAACCAUUAACUUGGAAAUAAAGUGCCUCUGAAUUAAAAAAAAAAAAAACAUUAUGUAUGGAGGGAAAUGCAAUUUUUUAAAUCCCCUAUCAUAUUUGUUUUU